rnacentral:rRNA from 1 species
AGCCCAAACCAGAAACUUGUUUCUGGGGUUGUGGAUAGAUCAUAAAAGAAGAGGUAUCUUAAUCGAAGAGGGCUGGAACGCCCUACCAUAGAAGGUAAUAGUCCUGUAGAUAAAAAGAGAAAACUUCGAGAUCUAAUCCAGAGUACCACGAGACACGUGAAACCUUGUGGGAAGCAGGGAGGACCACCUCCCAAGGCUAAAUACUACCUAGUGACCGAUAGUGAAGCAGUACCGUGA